AACAGAUUAUGAGGGAAGAUUUUCCAGUGGAUCAAGACAGCAUUGCUGUUUCCAGUGUUGUUUGUCCUAUUAGCUUCUUUACUUUCUCAUUGUAGGUACCUCUGGUGAAUUCCCAGGGACAACAUUUACAUCUGGAGGUUCCCACACAGGUAGUUGAAUGGGAAGGAAAUCCUCAUCUUGAAUGCAUGAUGACUUUGUAGUGCUGCAGUCAAGAAAUAGUGACUCAGUGUUUUUUGCCAGUGUCUCCCAGACCUCUUGAUCCUAUUCUUUCUUUUCUCAGAGGCCACAACUUUCACAGGAGGCAAGUGCAGUACUGGAACUGAAUCCAGAGCAGCCACCACUAGGGCAGCUCCUGGCACAACUCUUGUCCCUGGCAGUUCCAAUACAGGUGAGUCUGCAGGUUGCCAGGGAACCUUCAGAGCUCCUCCCAUAUUGCAAUGUGCGAUGUCUCCUCUGCUGCUGUUCUUUCCAGAAGUUGUAUCAUGUUCUUUUCAUGGUCCUUGAGUAUUUCCUAAUAUACCUUCCCUGUUUUUCUGUCUCUCAGGGGCCACAGCUUCCCUAGGUGGAAGUGCAACGACAAGAGGUAGAAUAACCACCGAGGCCACAAGUUCCACCAGAGGGGUCAGGACCACCGUGUCAGAAGCUCCAGGAGGUAAGCUUCGUCAGUCCAAGGCUUCAGAGUUCUCAUCAUUGUUAUUUUGUGCUCAGGGUAACACAUAAAUGAGAA
rnacentral:lncRNA from 1 species